rnacentral:rRNA from 1 species
CCUACGGGAGGCAGCAGUGGGGAAUUUUGGACAAUGGGCGCAAGCCUGAUCCAGCAAUGCCGCGUGAGUGAAGAAGGCCUUCGGGUUGUAAAGCUCUUUUGUCAGGGAAGAAACGGUUGAGGCUAAUAUCCUCGGCUAAUGACGGUACCUGAAGAAUAAGCACCGGCUAACUACGUGCCAGCAGCCGCGGUAAUACGUAGGGUGCAAGCGUUAAUCGGAAUUACUGGGCGUAAAGCGUGCGCAGGCGGUUUUGUAAGUCUGUCGUGAAAGCCCCGGGCUUAACCUGGGAAGUUGCGAUGGAGACUGCAAGGCUUGAAUCUGGCAGAGGGGGGGUAGGAAUUCCACGUGUAGCAGUGAAAUGCGUAGAGAUGUGGAGGAACACCGAUGGCGAAGGCAGCCCCCUGGGUCAAGAUUGACGCUCAUGCACGAAAGCGUGGGGAGCAAACAGGAUUAGAUACCCUGGUAGUCCACGCCCUAAACGAUGUCUACUAGUUGUCGGGUCUUAAUUGACUUGGUAACGCAGCUAACGCGUGAAGUAGACCGCCUGGGGAGUACGGUCGCAAGAUUAAAACUCAAAAUGAAUUGACGG